rnacentral:rRNA from 1 species
CCUAGUAACGGCGAGUGAAGCGGCAACAGCUCAAAUUUGAAAUCUGGCCUCGGCCCGAGUUGUAAUUUGUAGAGGAAGCUUUAGGCGCGGCACCUUCUGAGUCCCCUGGAACGGGGCGCCACAGAGGGUGAGAGCCCCGUAUAGUUGGAUGCCUAGCCUGUGUAAAGCUCCUUCGACGAGUCGAGUAGUUUGGGAAUGCUGCUCAAAAUGGGAGGUAAAUUUCUUCUAAAGCUAAAUACCGGCCAGAGACCGAUAGCGCACAAGUAGAGUGAUCGAAAGAUGAAAAGCACUUUGAAAAGAGGGUUAAAUAGCACGUGAAAUUGUUGAAAGGGAAGCGCUUGUGACCAGACUUGCGCCGGGCGGAUCAUCCGGUGUUCUCACCGGUGCACUCCGCCCGGCUCAGGCCAGCAUCGGUUCUCGCGGGGGGAUAAAGGCCCCGGGAACGUAGCUCCUCCGGGAGUGUUAUAGCCCGGGGCGUAAUGUCCUCGCGGGGACCGAGGACCGCGCAUCUGCAAGGAUGCUGGCGUAAUGGUCACCAGCGACCCGUCUUGAAACACGGACCAAGGAGUCAAGGUUUUGCGCGAGUGUUUGGGUGUAAAACCCGCACGCGUAAUGAAAGUGAACGUAGGUGAGAGCUUCGGCGCAUCAUCGACCGAUCCUGAUGUAUUCGGAUGGAUUUGAGUAGGAGCGUUAAGCCUUGGACCCGAAAGAUGGUGAACUAUGCUUGGAUAGGGUGAAGCCAGAGGAAACUCUGGUGGAGGCUCGCAGCGGUUCUGACGUGCAAAUCGAUCGUCAAAUCUGAGCAUGGGGCGAAAGACUAAUCGA